rnacentral:lncRNA from 1 species
AUGAUGAAGAAGAUUGUGGACAUAUCAGCCAGUUUCAAAAAUGGUCUAAGGAGUCUGCAUAUGAGGGUGAUCCAAAAACUCCGUGGAAAACAAAAUAAAAAUUUGGAAUCGACUGCCCAACUGGCCUGGGUCAAAAUGCUGUGUUCCAGCUCUCAAGAGGGACCUUUUCUGCUUCCAGCCUUUCUUGCCCUCAUUCCAUUUGCGAUGAGGAGCACAUUGCUGUACUCAACAUCUGACCUGCAGAUGUUACUUCUCCAUUUCCAUAGUAAGUUAUAAGCUUAAUCUAAAAUUGCUGUUUCGUGUUCUUUUUCCUUUAGUGCUUCAAAAUUUUUCACUGACAUUCAUUUGCAGAUUUGUUGAGUUUUUUGUUUGUUUGCUAUUCUUGCCUUAAGUCUUAUCUUCUCUUUCACUACUCAGACAGAAUGUAAUUUGGACCAAGCUCAGGUCACUGAAUGGAAGACCCUGAAGAUGGACACAAAUAUAGUCACUCAUAAUAACCCAACUGACAUAAUCUGUUUGUUUCAUUCUAUUAGUAGCUCCACUGAGGUCUGAGACCAUGUAUUUCAUUAUUAUUAUAAUCUGACAGACUGCCUAACUUAGAAUUUGGAACACACUAGGCAAAUACAAGGCAUACAAUCAAUGAAUAAUUGAUUGAUUCUGAUGCUCUAAUAUACAUCCAUAUUUGCUUCCGGGAAGUAGUUUAGUUGUCAAGGAUCAAGUUCUAGAAUGAAUAAUUAAUCAUUUAUCAAAUGCCUCCAACAGGCAAGGUCAAAUGUGAUAGAAAGGAUGAAAGCCAUUAGGAGAUUGUUGAUAUGUACACUAAUCCAUUUCAGAAGUGUCAGUUUGCAUUUGUUGGUGGUUAGUCUAUGGAGCAUUGCAGAUUGCAGCUUUAUCAAAAGAUGCACUUUUCUACACUUCCUAACUAGAGGCCAGAUAAGAAUGGAACCCAUACACUACACUUUGUGAAAUCUGCCUUCUCUGACAUUCUGGAUGAUCUUUUCCUGUUACUUACCUGUUUAGGAUGAUUACACAUUUCCUAUUUACAGCAGUCUUUUAGGGGUCUCCCAAGUAUGCUGUUCCUUUCUUCUAUGAUAAUACAAAUUUUAGUUGAUUAUAUAGCUGGCUAGAAUAGCACAACAUUAUCCAUCCACUUUACAGUCAGGAAAUUUCAGCCAAGUAUGUUCCAGUGUUGAAGUUAUGUCAUACAAUUGCAAAUGAAAUAUACAUCUUAACUGUGUUCUUCAAUAUUAGGAGUGGUCUUCUCUUUUUCCCUUUG